UUACACGAAAAUUCAUUAUUAUUUUCAUCAAUGUUAAUCAUUUCAACAUCCACACGGAUGAUGGCAUAUGACAGCAAACGUGGAAAUGAAGUGCUGUACGUGAUAGAAUAUCCAUAGACGUAUAAUAUUCUUAUGUACACACAUCUCUAUGUAAAAUAAUAUUGUCAAACCUCACAAGCAGUUUCUUCGAUUCUAUUUUUAUUCACAUCAUUCGAAAAUUUAUGUAACCAGUUUAUACAUACUCGAAUGUGAAAGUAGCAAGUGUAAAAUGUCAAGCAUUCGAUGUAUGUAAAAUUGUUUUACAUACGGAACAAGAGGGAAGCUUGAUGGUGAAAUUGGUGACUGGAUAAAAUCAAAAUCAGCGAUGCGUUGGUCGCGAGAAACGAGGGGUUCGAAAGCGUCGUGUCGUCCUCCGAGGGUGAAUAUUACCGAGGGAGACGAGACCGAAGAAAAAAGGACAAAAGACGAAGGAGAAGGGUGUACUGCAAAGUAUUUAAAAAUAUUAAGUACCCCCGACGGAGACGGAUAUUAAGACAGAGCCGUGGGGUAAAAUCGACGAAGAGACGAAAGGCGAAGAGUGAGUGAGAGAGAAGAUGAGAUAGUAAAAGGGGUUGGUGAAGGGGGCAAGCGACGAUGCGGCGCGUCGACGGUGCCAGAGAGGAAGCAGAGUUAUGGGAUUGAAGCGCUGCAGGAAGCAACGGGGCCUCCGCUGGUUACAAUAGAACGAGCGAGGGAGAGAGACCGUCGAGGCAGGGGAACGUUUCAAUUAGUAAUUAAAACGUGCCGUGCUCUACCGCCAGCGACCUUCUCCUCUAUCUCGACUUUACACAGUGGCUGUUGCCUCUCUUAUAGUCUGCCGUCGUCAUCCUGCCGCCGCGCUACUCCGCCAUCUUGUAAAUUAAUUAAUGCGUCCCUAACGAGAUCAGAGGUGUCGGUAAGGCAGCCGAGAUCGGCAAGUUCUCUACCCUGUUUGUCCGCCGAGAGGAAGAACAACCCCUUUCGGUGUUUCUGGAGAUGAGCGUUCACCGUUUCGAGGCCCCUGAGAAUCACUUCCGCUCUUUCGCAUCAGUGCACGCGAGCCUUUCUCUUUGCGCUUCCAUCGAGUUUACCAGAUAAAUCCUUGCCUUAUAUCACCCCAACUCGAGCUUCAUCUUCCCCAUUUAAGUAUAAAAUACAUUUUUUGGUGAACAUUAAUCCAAGUACAUAAAAAUUCUCAUUCAACCAAAUACACAAAAAUGAACUUCCCUCAUUCCUAAAUAGAUGAAUUCUCUACAUUCGCUCUGAUCGGAUCAGAAAGUAAUUGAUAUGAACCAGUCAUGUUACAAAUAAUCGAACGAGAGCAGUAGUCGCGUGGCGGGACAAAAUCAUCUCUGUCAAUCCUGUGCGUGAAUUGACUUUUCAAACGUUCAAUUAGGGAUGACCCUGGCCAGGAGGAGUCUAUCCCAGGGGCAGUGAGUGAGGGUGGGAAGGGCGUAACGCUAGUCGUGCUUCGGCAUCAGUAUCUCUCUCCCACGACCCUUUCAAACCCUUUCAUCGGUGCUUCAACCCGCUUACAUAAUGUAGCCACUCUAAUUAAAAUAAAUUACACUCUCGCGUCAGUUCGCUCUUUUAUCCGUCACGCCCUAUCCCCGUGCCACGCCACAUUUUUUUCGACCCUCGUUUCGUCGCUUUUUUUGCAUCGCAUUUUCAACCACCAGUCAGCAGCCAGCGACACUGGCUACGUAAUACACCCCCUGUUUUUCCUCCCUCUUUCCACCCCGCCUUUCAACCCUCACUCGUUUAUUUGCACUUUAUUCGAGAUUUAAUUUACCGACCUUCGAGCGUCAGCCUCGUUGCUGUGCGCUCAAUUCAGUGAUAGGAUUAAAAAAAACGGUACAAAAAAGUAGACGAUAGUCAACAGAGUGAUUUUGCAAAACGCGUGUUACCAAAGAAAAGAAAUAACGCGACUAAGAGCAGCAAACAACAAUUAUAUCGUGGGAAAGUAUUUAAUUAGGGUUAACAAUAGAUAGCGACUGUUUAUAAUUGUAAUGAUAUACUGAUAGCAAGCUCGAGAAUAAAAAAAUUUCUUAAAUCCUUGUGCGAUUGGUAUUUUAAAAGUAGCGCGCACUGAUGAUACCAGCGUUUGCUUGAGUAAUCGAGAAACGAUCUUUAAAGCUGACUAAUCGACCAAUUUUCACUCCCUUCGCUUUCACCUUCGUUGUUCCGCUAAUUAACGCUGAAAACUCGCUGCUUCGCAAAGAAAAAACGUGACUCGAUCAACAGGGAAUUAUCGAGGUUCGUUCAUGGCCCCAAUCAACACAAUUAUUAAGCGAAUAAAUUUUAAUUAAUUAAAUAGAAGAGGAAAUUAACCAACACUUCAAUUUUAUCAUAUGCUGGAUUUUUUCCAUGUAAUAAAAGAAUGCUCGUUGAUCGGUCGCGAUCUGCUCGUAGAAAACGGAAUUCCCUUCUCGAUGUCAGCUCGGCAUUACCUGCUCCGCAAAAUUAAUGCGGCGCCGUUUCUCGAGUAUUUUUCUCACCGACAUGGCAUCGAGGGCCACUCGCUUUCGCGACAAUUUGCCGCGAGCUACUCGGAUCGGCCGUAAGUAUCGUGAAAUUCAAUUAAGUUCGUGCUUGUGCAACUCGAGGGAACUCGCUUCUCUUCCUCUUCCAUCCCCUCUUAUCGCGGCUUCGCUCUCAUCAGCAGCUAGCAGUAGCCUGUGAACGUCCUCCCGUUUGGAAAAAAUAGAGAAAAAAGGAGACGUCUGUUCCAUGACGCGACGGCGAUAAAUAAAUAUUCUGCAGUCAUUCCUGGCUUCUCCCUUCGUGCUCUCUCUUCAUCUCCUCGAAAGCCACGGGAACAAGCAUUUCUCGGUAGUUCAUAAAUUGGUUGACUCGAUUGAAAAGGGAGAAUGAAAGAGCAGACUCUCUAUUUAUGUAACUUCUUAAUAUUCUACUUUCUUUCUUUUGGAAUGGUAUUCUUAAUAUUUCUCUAAUUGUCUUGUGAAUUUCUGAACAAUUAAUAGAAAACGCUGGCUAAAAUUAAUAGAAAAAACUGAAUGCUACGAAUUUAUGAUGGCUGUGCGUAUAUUCUCUGUGUACAAACACAGUGAAAGUUUUUAGUAAAAGGCUCCUGUGCUGCGUAAGACGAAGAAAACAAUCUGAUUUUCCAUCAAACCACUUUGCCUCGUUUUUUUCAGAUUUAUUCCUGCUCCACAUGUCGUAUCGUAUAGCUUUCUCGGUUACUUCG